UACGGGGGGGAGCAAGCGUUGUUCGGAUUUACUGGGCGUAAAGGGCGCGUAGGCGGUCAGCACAAGUCAGUUGUGAAAUCUCCGGGCUUAACUCGGAAAGGUCAACUGAUACUGUGCGGCUAGAGUGCAGAAGGGGCAACUGGAAUUCUUGGUGUAGCGGUGAAAUGCGUAGAUAUCAAGAGGAACACCUGCGGCGAAGGCGGGUUGCUGGGCUGACACUGACGCUGAAGCGCGAAAGCCGGGGGGAGCGAACGGGG
rnacentral:rRNA from 1 species